GCCUGGGUGGCUCAGUGGGUUAAGCGUCUGACUUUGCCUCAGAUCAUGAGCUCACAGUUCGUGGGUUUGAGCCCCGCGUCGGGCU
rnacentral:tRNA from 1 species